rnacentral:ncRNA from 2 species
AUCCAGGCAGGCGAUGGAGCUCGCCUUUAACCGCCGCACCGGCUGAUGGCUUCUACCAGGGC